UCCUACGGGAGGCAGCAGUGGGGAAUUUUGGACAAUGGGCGCAAGCCUGAUCCAGCCAUGCCGCGUGGGUGAAGAAGGCCUUCGGGUUGUAAAGCACUUUGUCGGGAAAGAAGUCGAGGGGUUAAUACCGGGGGGAUGACGGUAGGUGAAGAAUAAGCACGCUAUUUUG
rnacentral:rRNA from 1 species